rnacentral:ncRNA from 1 species
GAAAUACCUCACGCCCGUGGGGUUGAGCAGAUGUAAUGGGGGACAUCUGCUCACAAAAAAAAGCGGCU